GACGAACGCUGGCGGCGCGCCUAACACAUGCAAGUCGAACGGCGCUGAGAUAAGCUUUCUUUUCUUAGCUUAGUGGCUAACGGGUGAGUAACGCGUGAGUCACCUGCCCUGGUUUGGGGGACAACAGUUUGAAACGACUGCUAAUACCGCAUCAUCCCACGUUCCGGCAUCGGCUUGAGGUCUACGGAUUUUUUCGCUUGAGGUUGGACUCGCUUCCAAUUAUCUAUUUGGUGAGUUAACGGCCCACCAAGGCGACGAUUGGUAGCCGGAAUGAGAGGUUGAACGGAGACAUUGGGACUGAGAAACGGCGGAGAAUACUACGGGAGGGAGGAGUGGGGGAUAUAGCAAAAUGGGGGAAACCCAGAUGGAGCGACGGCGCGUGGAGGAAGAAGGUGUGAGGAUAGUAAAGUCGGGUCGUUAGGGACGAUAAUGACGGUACCUAAAAAGAAAGCACCGGCUAACUACGUG
rnacentral:rRNA from 1 species